rnacentral:lncRNA from 1 species
CGAAAAUGAGAAAAGAAAAAGGUUCAUGGAAGCCAUUAGGGUUCGGCAACUUCAAGCUUUAAUUAGUAAGUGAUUUUGAUUCGGUUUUUAAUAAUUUUUAUAUUUUUGAGAUCGUUGCUUCGAAUGCUAGUAAAUCCAUGCUUCAAUUUUCGGAAUUUAUGUUGAUUUUGUGUUUUGCCAUUGUUGAAAGUUUGAUGAUGAAAAAUAAAUAUGUAUUAAUAGAUUUUUUUAUGUUUUGGUUAAAUAAUGAUUCGGUUGAUGAAUUUGUUUUCGGUUGUGGCUUAAUUGGAUAAGCUAAGUGAUGAAUAAAUCAUUGCUUGUAUAAUUGGAUUUAUUGGUGCAUUUACGAAGACAAGAAUAUUCAUGAAUUAUAGUUGAUUUGUUAAUUAUUAAGUUAAGUUUAAGGUGUUUAGUUAAUAUGACUAUUUGGUUAUGAAAUUGGUAUAAAAUAUUUUUUAAUAUAAUUUGCUAGCCGAAUAGAUGAAAAACAAUUUGGUUUUGAAAAUGACAUUUUAGCAUGAUUCUUAGCAUGUGAACUUGACAUAUUUCUAUUCGGCAUUGGUACUUAGUAGAUGACUAUUAAUAGUUAAAUGAGUGGUGCAUGAAUUAUUUUUAAAUACAAUGGAGAUUCGGUCAUUUGGUAAUGCUUGUAUGUACUUGUAUAUUUUUGUCUAAUAAUCCGUGUGGAAUAACUUGACCAUUCAGUAAUGGUUGCUAAUAUUUCAUGUUUGGAUGUAUUAAUGUAUGUGCAUUAUAUGUGCUGAAUCAAGUUGUAAAUAAAUAUAUAUAUGUUACUGAUUGAAUUGAACUUUGGAGAAUUUGUUCCGAGUGUGAAAUAAAUUGGAGAAAUUGGCUACUAGGGCCUAAGGUAAAUUCGGUCUAACACGGGUUAGAUAAGAUUUUGUGUAUUUGGAAAUAGGGACUAAUUUGUGAAAAUGUGAAAUAUUAGGGGCUAAUGUGCAAAUUGCCCUUUUUAUGUGUUUUUGGGUGAAUUUGAGUAUAUGUGAGAUUAAAUAUGCAUGAUAUUUGAUGCAUAUCCGGGUUAAAUCCCGCAGGCUUCGUGCUGGUAUUAUAUCCGGGUUUUAUCCCGCAGGCUUUGUGCUGGUAUUAUAUCCGGAUUUUAUCCUGCAGGCUUCGUGCUGGUAUUAUAUCCGGGUUUUAUCCCGCAGGCUUAGUGCUGGUAUUAUAUCCGGGUUAAAUCCCGCAGGCUUAGUGCUGGUAUUAUAUUCGAGCUUAAAGUUCUGCAGGUUCUAUGCUGGUGAGCGGAUUCGGGUUUUAAACCUAGCAGGCUUAACGCCGGUGAUUCAAGUAAGGUUAUGAAUUCGAAAUUUCAAGGUAAACUACUAUUGAAUAUGUAUGAUACAUUAUGAUAGUCAGGUACGUAUUAUGUACUCACAUGUGAAUUGAUUUUUAAGGUGAAUUAUAGUAUCAAAGAACGAUAUAUGUGUGUGAAUGAUUACUAUAUCUACGAAUAAGAGCAUGACCUAUUCGGUCGAUGUCUAUCAUUAUAUGAAAGUAUGUGACCUAAAUUAAUUGUACGAGCUUCCAGAGAUAUCCGAGUAUCCUCUUUGUUUCCGAAUGGUUCAACUGGUACUCUGAGAAGUAAAUGAAUAUAUAAAUGUGCAUCCGAUUCAGGUAUAUUGCAAUGUUUAUGAAAUUGAGUAAUGAAAGUGAAUAUGAUUAUGAUUUAUGGAUAUAUAAUUCAGGUACGUGUGUUUCGAUUAUGAAAUUCAUAAAUGAAAGGUGAUUAUGUUUCAAGUGAUAAUAUGUGAAAUAUAUGACAUCAAAUAAUGUGAAUGUAUAAAUAAAUGGUGUGAUACAUAUAUGUUUGUUAUACGAAUUGUGGUCCUAUGUUUUGAGCAUGGGAAUUAUGAAAUGAGAAACAUGGUUUUGGGAAAUGAAAAGUAAUAUAUAUGUGUAAGAUAAUAUGUGAUUUAUAAGAAAAUGAAAUGUGAAUAUGUGCUCUAUAUAUAUGAAAUUGAAAUGUAGCCAAAUGGAUAAGUGUAAGAUGAUAUGUGAUUUAUAAGAAAAUGAAAUGUGAAUAUGUGCUCUAAAUAUAUAUGAAAUUGAAAUGUAGCCAAAUGGAUAAGUUAUAUAUGAAGUGGUUAGUGAACCAUUACAUGUUUUGGUUAUUCAUGUAAUGAUUAUGUGCAAACUUGAUUUAUAUGAUUGAGUUAACGGUUGUCUUUUGAAUGUGAAAACGUGAUAUAUAUAUUCAUUGAUAAAUAAGAUAAGAGAAGCUACUUAAUGUGGUUAUAUGAAUUUACGAGUACAAGAUUGUAUAAGUGAUUGAUGUUUGUUAAAUUUGGUUUAAUGAUAAUGAUUUGUAAAUAUCAUUGAAAUGAUUUAUUUGCUUAUGACUUACUAAGCUUUCUAAGCUUACUCUGUGUGUUUUUUCUAUGGUCAAAGAUUUUCGGAGACUUGCUCGGGAUAGAAGUCAUUGGAGACCACAUCACACUAUCUAGUUAUCACUUCGGUAAUUAAAAGCUUUAAGUUUUUGGUUAUGUGGCAUGUAUAGGCUAAAUUCAAUGUGGUUCAUUUUGAUUUGUAUAUGUAGCCAUGCGAGAAUGGCUUGUUAAUGAUGUUAAUGUUUGUGUAUAUUCAGGCAUGGUAUAAGCUUAUUUUUGAGAAAUAUGUCUCCAUGGUAUGAAUGAAUGUGUGAAAAUUUUAAAUUGUAUGCAAGAUUUAUCUUUUGAAUGUGAGUGAAUAUUAAAAUAUAAGUCCGAUAAUGCCUCGAACCCUAUUUCGGCUUCGGAUACAGGUAAGGGGUGUUACAUUUUAUGGUAUCAGAGCUAUGGUUUAGUCGAUUUUAGGGCUACCAUAGCGUAUGUGAGUCUAGCUAUACAUGCCAUGUUUAACCUGUGAUAGUGUGAUAUCUCCCGACUCUGACAAAAAUUAUUUUGAUGAGACAGCUAUGUUUUCCAACCGAGCAAAUUCUGAUAGUACUGAAGUAAAUACUCAAAUGUUUGAGUGAAAAUGUGUUGAUUAUGAGUUGAAACUCACAAAGGUAUGGAUCAAAUUGUAUGACAUUUGGUUAGUGAUAAAUGUUAUAAUUAUAUGAGAAUAUGAGUUAUGACAUUUGAGUGAUGAUGCUAUAUGAGAAUUUCGAUUGCGAAUUAGUGAUUUGAGUUGGCAUAAGAUUACAUGUUAAGAACAAAAGUGAUUAUAAGCAAAUGUUUAUUAAAUGAUUUGGGAAUGUGAAAUCAGUAAUGAACUGGCUAAUUGUGAUAAUAUGUGUUAUGUGCAUUACGUGUGAGUUGAAUUAGAGGCUUUAUUAACCUCACCGCCCUUAUUAGUGAAUGUUAUAAUGAAAUCUGUAAGAUUUGAGUGGAAUAAGCUCACGAGUUUCGAGUUACAGAGAUCCGUGUUUGAAAGAUUACUAAUGUGGUCAAAAAAGAGAAUGAAUCAGCAAAUGAAGGCAGCACUAAAAGAGAUAUUGGAUAGUUUUGAAGACUAUUCAGAUUAUGCAAAGUCAUUGUCAUAGAAGAAAUUAACUUCGAUUAAUUGACCUAUUCAGGUAUGUUAUCUAAAGAAAAUAUUAGCUAGAAGCUUUUCUGAAUAGAUUUCUAUUAGUGAAGGGAUUAAAAAAAUGACAGAAUUAGACGGUUCAAUAAUGAUUAAAUUAUAGUGAUGGCUAAGUCCAAUAAUUAUAGUCGGGCAGUUACUAUGAUUCCUUCCGGGCUUUCUAUGCGUAUAUUUAUCCUUAGAAGUAUCUGUGACUGUAUAAUUUAUGAGGGAAUUCUUAUCGUAUGAAAACAUUAGCUAAACAUAUUAAUGGACGGAAGCAUCGUUGGUCUGUUUGGGUUAUACUCGACAUUGUUAUGUCUUUCUCUGGUAAUUAUUUCCUUGUGUGAAUAUAAAAGUUAACGGUAAAAUUUGUAUGAUUCUAAUACUCUAUUUCUACUGGCUAUUAUUCUGUUGAAAAUACGUGAAGAUUAUAUAACUUCUAUUACUGUGGAUUCCAGUAUUUAUGAGUGACAUUAUUCUUUUCAAAACUUAUCUAGGAUAUCAUCGGAAUUGAUAUAUUUUAUAUAAGUUGUAAUUUUUUGAUAUUCUGUGUAGCCUCAGACAUUGAAAUUUCACUAUUUUGGUUUUCUUAUGAUUCCAUGUGAUUAACGGCAAGAGAUAUUUAUUUGAAAGAGAUGAUUAUGUCUAUUAUGACUAUAAUUUAUGACUUGAAAUGUGAGAGUACAGUGGUACCGUCAUCAGAGUUAUAGAAGUUGUGUUUCUGCAUUGGUUGCUGUUUAAACCAUAUUGAAUUCUUUUCUGUGUUUAAAUGCAUUAUUGAUAGUCGGAGUGUUAUUUAUUGUUACGGUUAAGACGUCGGUCUUAUUAUGACAUUAUGAUUUCUUUUUUUUACGGUUGCGGCUUCUGUAUAAUGAUAUGUUUGGAUUAUCUUUUUAAUGGGAAGAAAGGAUUUCUUUGAAAAGGCUGAUUCAAUGGUUUAGUUUGAUCUGAAUUAUUCGAUUGAAAAGUUAAUUGAGUUAUAUGUGUUUGAAUCUAUCCACCGGAUUGGAAAUAAACUUUGAACGUACAUAUGUGAAUUGAAGGAUAGCCUGGAAAAAGGAUUCGUAAUCUUGAGGACUUGAUACUGAAUUAUAUAUAUCGGAACAAUUCUAUCUGAGAAAGUAGUAAUGAUGAAAUAGAAUUUUGAUAAACCUUGUAUUGGAAUUAUUUCUUAUCAUUAAAAAGCUAGAUGUUAUCUGAAUUAUUGUUAUCUGUCUGAAUAAGUCCUUCCGUACGCAUAGAUUUCUCUUUUGAUAAAUCAACUGAGUUAUUGUCUCAGAGACUGUCAGUUUGCAUAUGGUGCCAGUAAUCAUUAUUUCAGAAUGAAAUCUAAAAUUUAUAUGGUAAUUCUAGGAGAAAUUAAAGUAAGCUGUGAGUACGAAGUUGUAUUGAAAUUCUCAAAAUAUCUAUUUGUCACUGUGUUUUAAAAUUUGGAAGCAACUAAGUGAGGCUAUUUCUGUUUGAUAAGCUAUCAUGUGUGUAAAAAAAAUAUGACAUUGUAUGAGGAAUCGUAUGGUUGCAAUUACCAAACUCCGUUGUUUCAGGACCGAGCUUUGUGGGAAAAUGAUCCAUGGGAUUAAUAUCAUCAGAGAAAUUAAGCAGAGAAUGAAAGUAAUUUAAUACAUUUAUAAGCAUAUUCAGGUUGGUAUGAUGUAUAGCGGAAGACAGAUCAUAAUCUUACUCGUGAGAUUAAAGAGAUAAGAAAUUCAAAGCUAUGUGAAUUUGAAAUAUACUGUGUGGAAGCAAAUCCUUAAUCUACUUUCUAGUAAGAUAUUUAGGGACGAAAAUCCCUAAGGGGGGAGAGUUGUAACAACCCAGUUUAGACCUUAAUCGGAACAGUGGUUUCGGGACCACAAAUUCGAGUCAAAAAAAUAUUUUAGUAUUAUUCUUGGUGUUUACAGUAUGUGAGUUAAUAUGUGUGAAAUUUUCGUGUGAAAAUUUUAUCGUUUGUGAGCUCAAUUUUAUAAAAGGACUUAAUUGCGUUAAAUGUAAAAGUAGCAUGCUAUAAGUUAAAAGUGUCUAAAAGCUAUGGAGCUUAAAAGUUAGGGUCCUUAUGUGAUAAAUGGACCAUUAAUUAGUUAGUGGAAAUGUUGGUUUGGCAUUAUUGAAAUAUUGAAUUUGAAAUAAGGUUAUUUGAGUAAUUUAUAAAUAUAUGUUAAUAUAUUAAUAAAAUAAAAGUUAAAUUAUCAUCUUUGAUGGUUCUUUCAACCGAAAAUGAGAAAAGAAAAAGGUUCAUGGAAGCCAUUAGGGUUCGGCAACUUCAAGCUUUAAUUAGUAAGUGAUUUUGACUCGGUUUUUGAUAAUUUUUAUAUUUUUGAGAUCGUUGCUUCGAAUGCUAGUAAACCCAUGCUUCAAUUUUCGGAAUUUAUGUUGAUUUUGUGUUUUGCCAUUGUUGAAAGUUUGAUGAUGAAAAAUAAAUAUGUAUUAAUAGAUUUUUUUAUGUUUUGGUUAAAUAAUGAUUCGGUUGAUGAAUUUGUUUUCGAUUGUGGCUUAAUUGGAUAAGCUAAGUGAUGAAUAAAUCAUUGCUUGUAUAAUUGGAUUUAUUGGUGCAUUUACGAAGACAAGAAUAUUCAUGAAUUAUAGUUGAUUUGUUAAUUAUUAAGUUAAGUUUAAGGUGUUAGUUAAUAUGACUAUUUGGUUAUGAAAUUGGUAUAAAAUAUUUUUUAAUAUAAUUUGCUAGCCGAAUAGAUGAAAAACUAUUUGGUUUUGAAAAUGACAUUUUAGCAUGAUUCUUAGCAUGUGAACUUGACAUAUUUCUAUUCGGCAUUGGUACUUAGUAAAUGACUAUUAAUAGUUAAAUGAGUGGUGCAUGAAUUAUUUUUAAAUACAAUGGAGAUUCGGUCAUUUGGUAAUGCUUGUAUGUACUUGUAUAUUUUUGUCUGAUAAUCCGUGUGGAAUAACUUGACCAUUCAGUAAUGGUUGCUAAUAUUUCAUGUUUGGAUGUAUUAAUGUAUGUGCAUUAUGUAAUACCUUGAAAAUUUUUACAGUAAGAUAUUAUCUUUGAUAUAGUAAAAUAAGGAAAUAAAGUGACAAAAUGGGAAAUUUUGAGUUAUGUCAAUAUUGAGAAGUAUAUUAUGAUAUAUUAAUUCAAGAAAGGACUAAAUUGUAAAAGUGAGAAAAGUUUUGUUGCACAAGAGUAAAUAUUCAUAAUUUGAGGGGUUAAAGUGUAAAUAUGAAAAAUUUGAAGGACCAAUAGUGUAAAUAAUUUAAGAGUGGAAUGAUUUAGAAACUAAGAAAAAUGGAUGAAUUAUGACCAAAUUGAAUAGAUGAAGAACUAUGAGGGACUAAAUUGAAAUUUUACCAAAUUAAAUGAUGACUCAAGGAUGAAAUUUUAAAAGGUAAUGAAGGGCAAAAUGGUCAAUUGGAAGAGAGAAAAAUCUAGAAAGUAAUAAUGAUGCUAGAGAUAUUUUGAUAUUUUAUAAUUAUUUAAUUAGAUAAAUAUUAUUUUAUUAAUACUUUAAUAAGAUAUUUUAUUAUUAUUUUAUUAGUAUAUAAAGAAAGGAAGAUGAGAAAUUCUCAUCCAUAUUUUCCCAUGCACUAACGUGAGAGAAAGAGAGGAAGAAAAAAAGUUUUGCUUUCUUUACAAUUUGGUCCUUUUACCAAAAAUUCACCAUUUUCACCCAAAAAUCAAAUGAAUUUCCAUAGCUACCAAGAGACAAAAAUGUUAAGGAGAGCAUGGGGAGUUAGAAUAUCAAGUUGGAUUCAAGAAAUAGAAGCUGGAGGAGAGAGAAAAUCAAGUUAAAGAUUAGUAUCAAUAGAACAAGGUAAGUAUAUCAAGAUUUCAAUAUGUUUUUAAGCUUGUUAUUAUUGACAAAGCAUGGAAAUAAUGUUAUAGUAGAGUUUUCUUACAUAAGGUCCUAUGUUUUUGAUAUGUUAGUGAAGAGAAAAUAAGAGAAAGUGAUGAGAAAUGGUGUAGAAAAAGAAAAUAAGGGUGUUAUAACAUGGUAAUUAAUAGCUUGCACAAAAACAGUUUGGACAGAAGCAGUAGACUAACUUUGAAAAAUCACCAUAAAUUGUAGAAAUCGAAUUAGAAGAUGAAAAAAAUAUGGAAUUAAAUAUUAUUGAGUAUAGUUUCUCAUAGAAGAAAUAGUGUAAGCAAUGGAUUUGUAAAUUUUGAGAUAUAAUUAAUUUUGUGAGACAAUGUCAGAAUGAAUUCGGGUUCCCCUGUUCUGACUUUGAAAAAUCAUAAAAAAAUUGAAUAAAAAUAAUUAGGGGCUUAAAUUUAUAUUUAUAAAAUCCUGAAUGAGUAUAUUUUUAAGAUAAACAAACAAGAACAUCAUUUGAAUCCUGUAUGAGGAGAUAAUUAAUUUUUGGUGAAGAGGGGUCAGAACUGUCAAACAGCAGAACAUGAGUAACUUUAAAGAAUAAACUGCACUUAUUGGCUAAACCAAAAAUUCUGAAAUUUUUAUGGUAAGAAUAUAUAUGAGUCUAGAUUCAGGGAAAAUUAUUGGAUAUUAAUUUGGAGUUCUAUAGAUCCAGAUAUAAAUAAUUUAGUGACUAUGAUGCAGAUAGACAGGUUGAAUAUUCAUAAAAGUAAAUAAUAAAAAUUAUGGAUAAUGUUACUUACAAGUGUGUUAUCUACAUUAAGGAUGUGGAAUGGAGAGGAGGAGAAGGAAAAAUAUGUAUGAAUAUUCAUCUAGCAUGGCUAAUUUGCAUAUUUUAGUCUCAGGGACUAAAUUGAAUAAAAGUAAAACUUUAUGGGCAAUUUUGUAAACAUGUCAGAAAUGACCAAAUUGCAUGAAAUGGAUUAUUUUAUUAUUUAAAUUACAAAAUUGAAUGAAAUUAUUAAUUUAGUUCAAGAUUGGGGGAAAACAUGUUUUAGGGAUUAAAUUGAAAAGUGUUGAAAUUAUGAAAAAUUCUGAUAUUUUAUAGAAUUCAUGGAUUGUUAUCAAUAUAUAUGAGAAUAAUAGCUGGAAAUAAGGAUUAAAUUGCAAGAAUUUUAUUUUCCUGACCUUAAGGAUGAAAUUGUCAUUAAUUGAAAGUUUAGGGGCAAAAUGGUAAUUUUGCCUAGAGCAUUAAUUAAGAGCAUUAGAAUAUGAAAUGAAUGAAAAUGAUGAUCAAAUUUAUUUAUAAAGAUCCGGACGACUCAAAUAUGAGACUUGGUCGUGGAAAAGAACAGAUAUCAGAUUAAUGAAAUUAUAAACACAAACAAGCAAUGAGGUAAGUUCGUGUAACUUGAAUUAUAUUCUUAAAUGCUUGAAAUGCAUGUUUUUGAUAUGAAUAUGAUUUGAAUGUUCAUUAUAUGAAAUUUUAUGAAACAUUGAUAAAUUUGAUAAAAGGAGAAGAAAUCCCGGUUGAAUGAAAGGAAAAUUCGAUAGAUCUCUGAAAAGGAAUUGACGGUAAAAAGGAUCUAGCCCGGACGGGUGAUCCUAUCCUGAUAUAGCCCUCUCGAAGAAUAUGUGUAAAACGAAUUUAGCCCGGACGGGUAAUCCGAAUUAGGGUCUGAAUUUAGCCUGGACUGGUAAUCCCGACAAUACUCUAUGAGUUUAUAUUACAGGGGAUUUAGCCUGGACUGGUAAUCCCACUGUAAGGAUGAGGUUCGCGGGAGUGUGCUCUCUGAUAUGAAAUGUGUAAGACCAUGGUUGAAAGAUACCAUGGCAACCUGUGUGUAAGACCAUGGUUGAAAGAUACCAUGGCAACCUGAUAUGAAAUGUGUAAGACCAUGGUUGAAAGAUACCAUGGCAACCUAAUAUGAAAUGUGUAAGACCAUGGUUGAAAGAUACCAUAGCAACCUGAUAUGAGAUGUGUAAAACCAUGGUUGAAAGAUACCAUAGCAACGUGACAUGAAAAGAAUAAGACCAUGGUUGAAAGAUACCAUGGCAACAUGACAGAAAAUAAGUAAGACCAUAGUUGAAAGACACUAUAGCAUCACGUCAAAGAUAAAUAAGACCGUGGAUGGGAGACGCUAUAACAUCUGUUGAACAAUUGAUAUUCAGGUAAAAUGUAUCAGAUGACGAAUGGUUAUAUGAAAUAGUUGUGUGAAAUGUUUACAAGAACUGGUCAUAUGGAAAUAUAUGUGCAAAAGCGUUAUAUGAAAUAAUUAUGAAAAUAGAUAAACGAAAUAAGUAUAAGUACAUGGAAUAUAAUUUAUGUUAAGUUUGAUAUAAGCUAUUACCAGAAUAAAUAUACAUAAAAUAUAUGGAAAUGAUGAAGCAUAAAAUAUUGAUAUAAUGAAAUGAAUGAUAUAUGCUGGUGAAAAAAUGGUAAGAGCAUGAUAUGUUUCAUGACAUGUACAUAUAUGAUUAUCUUUGAUAUGUUGAUACAAGGAAAUUAUGUAAUUGAGACUAUUAUUAAACUCAAGUGCGACAUGUCGAGAAAAUAGAUAUAUCAAUGUUGAAUUUAUAUGAGAUAUGUGCAAGUAUACUAACAAUGUUGUUGUUUGAUGCUUAUACAAGUGCCAAACUGUUGAUUGAAUGGUAAUAUAUUUAUUUUAUAUGAUGCAUUGAAUCGGUAAGUAUUUUAAUUUUUUUAAGUGAUCUGCAAAUGGUAGUAAUGCUCCGAAACCCUGUUCUGGCAGCGGAUACGGGUUAGGGGUGUUACACAUUAUAUGUGCUGAAUCAAGUUGUAAAUAAAUAUAUAUAUAUAUGUUACCGAUUGAAUUGAGCUUUGGAGAAUUUGUUCCGAGUGUGAAAUAAAUUGAAUAAAUGGGCUACUAGGGCCUAAGGUAAAUUCGGUCUAAAUUUUGUGUAUUUUGUGCUAUUUGGAAAUAGGGACUAAUUUGUAAAAAUGUGAAAUAUUAGGGGCUAAUGUGCAAAUUUCCCUUUUUAUGUGUUUUUGGGUGAAUUUGAGUAUAUGUGAGAUUAAAUAUGCAUGAUAUUUGAUGUAUAUCCGGGUUUUAUCCCACAGGCUUCAUGCUGGUAUUAUAUCUGGGUUUUAUCCCGCAGGCUUUGUGCUGGUAUUAUAUCCGGGUUUUAUCCCGCAGGUUUAGUGCUGGUAUUAUAUCCGGGUUAAAUCCCGCAGGCUUAGUGCUGGUAUUAUAUUCGAGCUUAAAGUUCCGCAGGUUCUGUGCUGGUGACCGGAUUCGGGUUUUAAACCUAGCAGGCUUAACGCCGGUGAUUCAAGUAAGAUUAUGAAUUUGAAAGUUUGAGGUAAACUACUAUUGAAUAUGUAUGAUACAUUAUGAUAGUCAGGUACAUAUUAUGUACUCGCAUGUGAAUUGAUUUUUAAGGUGAAUUAUUAGUAUCAAAGAACGAUAUAUAUGUGUGAAUGAUUACUAUAUCUACGAAUAAGAG